AGGGACCUCAAAGAUGAUCUAGUUCCAACCCCUGGCCGUAGGCAGGGACACUCCCCACUAGAACAGGUCACUCAAGGUGACCUUUAAAUCAUGCUCCAACUUGUCCUUUCCAGUUCCAAGAGAUUCUGUUCAUCUCCUGUGGUGAAAUGUCCUUGUUUUUUUCCUGAACUAUACAGCCUACCACAAAUUUUAUGAAGACAAAAGUCUGAUCAGGUUGGAGCAGGACUUCCCAAACUGUAAUGGACCAUGUCAAGUAGUCUGCAAAGACGUAUUAACACAACACAUUGACAUUCUCUCUCUCUAAUGUUUCAGUUAAAAGUGCUUUGAGAAGGAGUGCAACAGGCUGCAGGAAACACCAAGGUGCUCUGUGGCUCCAGAGGAGAUGGGGACCAUCAAACUGACAGCUCUAAGCUCAACAGCUCUGCACUGAGGGCCUGGAGAGAGGAAGGGGGAAACUGAGUCCUCGUGUUUCUGCAGGAACACUUCAACCAUGACCACGUGCACAUUCUGGCUGAAAUGAACAGCUUCCAGGAGAUAUUGGCCUCCCAAAUGAUGUCUUCUGAAAGGCUGUAAGAGGAUUCCUUGACAAGAGAAGACUAUUUUCUUCUUAAGGAUGCAGCUCUGCUUUCUACAAGGUCCUAGCACCCAAGCCAUUUUCCCAGGAGUUUGAUACAGUGCACCAGACACUUUUGAAACAGUUUUCCAAGAAUCAAAAGCAGUAGUAGGACUGAAAACCAAACCAAAACCAACCCAGAAAUUAAAAGGCAUCCAUGACUCCAUACCAAGUUAUUUUCCAUCAGUAGCCAGAAAAGGACAGUGCUUCAGAUUUUAAGCACUCCCUCUACAGAAGCACACAGAGGUAAGCCCAGGUUUAAACUUUGAAAGAUUCAAUUUAACAUCUGUUCCUUUUAAACAGAGAACCUGAAUUUUGGGUGACUCAUAUUUAUAGCCUCUGUAAGUAAGUACAGAGGUCAAAUGUCAGGACAGCAUGUCAGAGAGACCAAGGAG